rnacentral:rRNA from 1 species
CGCGUGAGCAAUCUGCCUUGGAGUGGGGAAUAACGGCUGGAAACAGCCGCUAAUACCGCAUGACGCGUCUGGGAGGCAUCUCUCUGGACGCCAAAGAUUUAUCGCUCUGAGAUGAGCUCGCGUCUGAUUAGCUAGUUGGCGGGGUAACGGCCCACCAAGGCGACGAUCAGUAGCCGGACUGAGAGGUUGGCCGGCCACAUUGGGACUGAGACACGGCCCAGACUCCUACGGGAGGCAGCAG